rnacentral:lncRNA from 1 species
CGCGCAUGCGCAGAGCGGACACGGCGGCGGCCGGAGCGGAGAGAGGGGCGGCGCCAUGAUGGCGGCUCAGGGGGGAGGAGACGGAGCCACCGAAGACGACGAUGGAGCAUCCACCGGAGCGUCAGCGCCCCCCGAUGACGGGGAGGACUCAGAGGAGACGUCGGUGUCGUCGGGGGAGAGCGGACCCCCAACACCCCCCCCAAGUAACGGCUGCGCAGGUUCCCGCAGCCGUUCCCCCCCCCCCACCCUCAGACCCAGCGGAGGAUCCCGAACUGGUGGGGGUGGGUGUGUCGGCCCUAUACAUUCUAUAGGUCCCAGCCCCAUAGAAUGGCACCAAUGCCCCGAAUGCGGCCGAGGGUUCGGUACAUCCCGAGCCCUUAAAGUCCAUCGUAGUUACCAUAUAGGGAGGAAAAGACCCCAAAGUGGGGCUGGGGGGGGUGGGGGGGGGGUGGUGGACCCCCACCCCCUUACCCCUCGUGUUGCCCCACCCCCACCCCCCCACCCCAUUAUAUCUGUGCUGAAUGUGGGUGGGAUUCGGGACCCCUUUGGCUUUAGGGGCCCAUAGAUGCGAACACAGCCCUUAUUAUGGGAUCCAAGCCGGGGGGGGAGGGUUAAGGAAUAGACCCCCACCCCAUUUAAAUCAACCCAAGACCCCCCCGACACCCCCCCCUCAAAUACCUGAAGACCCCCCGUAUCAAUGUACUGAAUGUUCGGGGGCUUUUGGGUUAUUGAGUGAUUUACAUGAGCAUUAUAUGUUACACGCCAGGGGGAGCUGUGAGACCCCCCCCAAAUUAUGGGGACCCCCCCCCUAAUUAUAGGGACCCCCCCCAAUUAAACCCCCAUAGAUCCCAAUGGGAGAACCCCCCCCCCCCCAGUCCCCCAUUGAAAUGAAUGGGGGAGGUUGAGUCUUAUUGGGGGGGGGCAGAGACUUGAGACCCCCCCCAAUUAUGGGGACCCCCCCCAAUUAAACCCCCAUAGAUCCCAAUGGAGACACCCCCCCAUCCCCAUACAACCCAAUGGGAGACCCCCCCCCCCCCCCCCCAGUCCCCAUUGAACUGAAAUGGGAAUGAAUGGGGGGGGUUGACUCUUAUUGGGGGGGGGCAGGGACUUGAGACCCCCCCCUAAUUAUGGGGACCCCCCCCAAUUAUACCCCCAUAGAUCCCAAUGGGAGACCCCCCCCAUCCCAUUGAUCCCAAUGGGAGACACCCCCCACCAUCCCAUACAACCCAAUGGGAGACCCCCCAAACCCCCAGUCCCCCAUUGAACUGAAUGGGAAUGAAUGGGGGGGGGUUGACUCUUAUUGGGGGGGGCAGAGACUUGGACCCCCCCCCCCAAUUAUAGGGACCCCCCCCCAAUUAAACCCCCCAUAGAUCCCAAUGGGAGACAACCACCCCCCCCCCCAAGUCCCCUAUUACAAGUCAAUUGGGAAUGAAUGGAGAUGGGGUUUAGAGUCUUAAUGGUGGGGGGGGGGGGCAGAGACGUUAGAGACCCCCCCAAAUUAUGGGGACCCCCCCCCUUAAUUAUAGGGACCCCCCCCCCAAUUAAAUCCCCAUAGAUCCCAAUGGAGACUCCCCCCCCCAUUGACCCCCAUUGAUCCCAAUGGGAGACCCCAUGCCCCAUUGAAAUGAAUGGGAAUGAAUGGGGGGGGGCUGUUGAGGACCCCCCCCCUAAUUAUGGGGACCCCACCUCAAAUUAACCCCCCAUUGAUCCCAUGGAGGACCCCCCCCCCCCCCCAAUUGACCCCCAUUGAAAUGAAUGGGAAUAAAUGGCUGUGAAUGGAGGCGGGGGGGUCUGAG